rnacentral:tRNA from 1 species
GGUGGAUGGCUCAGUGGGUAGAGCACAUGCCUUCCCGUGCAUGGGGCCCUGGGUUCAAGCCCUGGCACCA